UGUGUGUGUGUGUGUGUGUAGUAUAGUGUAUGUGUGUGUAUGAAUGCAUGAGCUCAGACACACACACACACACACACACACACACAGAGCAC
rnacentral:miRNA from 1 species